GACGAACGCUGGCGGCGUGCUUAACACAUGCAAGUCGAACGGAAAGGCCCUGCUUUUGUGGGGUGCUCGAGUGGCGAACGGGUGAGUAACACGUGAGUAACCUGCCCUUGACUUUGGGAUAACUUCAGGAAACUGGGGCUAAUACCGGAUAGGAGCUCCUGCUGCAUGGUGGGGGUUGGAAAGUUUCGGCGGUUGGGGAUGUACUCGCGGCUUAUCAGCCUGUUGGUGGGGUAGUGGCUUACCAAGGCUUUGACGGGUAGCCGGCCUGAGAGGGUGACCGGCCACAUUGGGACUGCGAUACGGCCCAGACUCCUACGGGAGGCAGCAGUGGGGAAUAUUGCACAAUGGGCGGAAGCCUGAUGCAGCAACGCCGCGUGCGGGAUGACGGCCUUCGGGUUGUAAACCGCUUUCGCCUGUGACGAAGCGUGAGUGACGGUAAUGGGUAAAGAAGCACCGGCUAACUACGUG
rnacentral:rRNA from 1 species